rnacentral:rRNA from 1 species
AGCAGCCGCGGUAAUUCCAGCUCCAAUAGCGUAUAUUAAAGUUGUUGCAGUUAAAAAGCUCGUAGUUGAAUUUCGGGAUCAAUAUGUUGGUCGUGCCAUUGGUACGUACUGGCAUUAUUGACUCUUACCUUCUGAAGAACCUUGAUGUCAUUAAUUUGGUGUCUUGGGGAAUCAGGACUGUUACUUUGAAAAAAAUUAGAGUGUUUAAAGCAGGCUCGCGCUUGAAUACAUUAGCAUGGAAUAAUGAAAAUAGGACGUUCGAUCCUAUUUUGUUGGUUUCUAGGAUUGACGUAAUGAUUAAUAGGGAUAGUUGGGGGCAUUAGUAUUCAAUUGUCAGAGGUGAAAUUCUUGGAUUUAUUGAAGACUAACUACUGCGAAAGCAUUUGCCAAGGAUGUUUUCAUUAAUCAAGAACGAAAGUUAGGGGAUCGAAGACGAUCAGAUACCGUCGUAGUCUUAACCAUAAACUAUGCCGACUAGGGAUCGGAUGAUGUUAAUUUUUAAUGA